GAGGGGAGGCCAGAUCCUGGGCUGUGUCCCCGGCACCCUGUGCUCCCGGGCCUUUACUGUUGGAUUGGCGCUCCCGCCGGGCAGCCCCCU
rnacentral:pre_miRNA from 1 species